AACGAACGCUGGCGGCAUGCCUAACACAUGCAAGUCGAACGAGACCUUCGGGUCUAGUGGCGCACGGGUGCGUAACGCGUGGGAACCUGCCCUUAGGUUCGGAAUAACUCCCCGAAAGGGGUGCUAAUACCGGAUAAUGUCUUCGGACCAAAGAUUUAUCGCCUUUGGAUGGGCCCGCGUUGGAUUAGCUAGUUGGUAGGGUAAAAGCCUACCAAGGCGACGAUCCAUAGCUGGUCUGAGAGGAUGAUCAGCCACACUGGGACUGAGACACGGCCCAGACUCCUACGGGAGGGAGGAAGGGGGAAAAAUGGAAAAAGGGGGAAAGGCUGAACCAGCAAAGGCGGGUGAGGGAUGAAGGCCUUAGGGUUGGAAAGCUCUUUUAACCGGGAUGAUAAUGAAAGGACCGGGAGAAUAAGCUCCGGCUAACUCCGUG
rnacentral:rRNA from 1 species